CGGUUGUGUAAUCCGUUGGUUUGUUGUGCGGAGAGGGGCUUGUCUGGAGGAAGAGGCCAGUAUGGAUCCGCCGCGGGACAUUCAACAUUUUAAACGAAACAUCGCCACUCGGUCCACGGUAUCGUCGUGUUCCUCUCUCGCCAUGGAGAUUAAGAGAAAGAAAAUAAGGGAAAGCAUGUUUUUUCAAAAUGAGGACUGUGAUAUUCAGGAGAAGUUGGAGUUUGAGAUGCGGAUGAGAGCUGGGGCUUACAAGCUUCUGGUUGCCAGCACUAAAAAAGAGCAGGUGCUGGAUGCUUCCAGGAGUCUGUUAACCUGUAAUGCCCGAAUUAAAGCCUACAUGAGUGAAUCCCAGAUGAGGAAAGCGCAGCAGGACAUCAGAAGGUCAUCUGGCUCUCAGGAUCAAAUCCCUUGUAAAGGAAAGGUAGCCAUAUCUGGCCUACGAAUUCCAUUGUUUUGGAAAGAUACAGAACACUUUAACAGCAAAGGGAAUCCACAACGGGUUGCAGUCUUCUGUUUGAUGAAGAUUGGCUCAGAGAUUUUUGACACUGAAAUGGUGAUUGCAGACCCCUCAAUGACCGAUGUUUGCUUUGAAGGUGUCAAAAUUUUCUCUGAAGCUAAGCCGGACUUUGAACUGACAUUUGAGCUGUAUAGCUGUGGACUGGAGGAGGAGUCAACCUUUGUCAACACUCCAAAAAAACUGGCCAGGAAACUACGCUUCUCUUUCGGCAGAUCUUCAUGCAGGAAACUCUGCCCUCUUAUGGAUGGAGGAGACCCUGACACUUUCCUCCAGUCCAACCCAAUACCAGUAGGUGCACGGUACUCACUGUUGGCGUACACCACUCUGGGUUUGGAGCAGGCAGAGGGAUCUUUCCAGUCUCAUUCUCUUAUAAUUCUGCAAAAUGUGGAGGCUUCAUCAUGGCUGCCGUUGUAUGGUAACUUGUGCUGUAAGCUGGUGGCACAACCUGACUGCAUGACACAAGACAUGAUAAGCGGAUACCUGAGCCAACAGCAAAGCAUUGAGGGUUUGCAGCGCCGCUGUAAGCUAUUCUGUGUGCUGAAGGCUGGACAGAUUUCAUGCUAUUACACUCCUGAAGAAAUCCAAGCAAAAGUGGAGCCCAGCCUCAUUAUUCCCAUUAACAAGGACACCCGUAUUCGUGUGGUAGGAAAGGACCACCAGCAGACUGGCACUAGACUCAACCUGAUAAACCCGGGAAAUGGAGACUCUGCCAGUCAUGUGUUCAUUACUGAAACCCCUGACGUCUUGCAGGAGUGGCUGGAUGCCCUCUGGCAGCACAUUUAUGACCAGAGUCAGUGGCAACAUACAUGUGACAAGAUCAUGGAAAUAGAGGUUUUGUCACCACGGAAACCCCCGCUCUUUCUCAUGAAGCAAGCUGACUCUGUUUAUAAUGAUCUAAGCAUCGGGUCCCCUGGGAAAUUUGAGAGCUUGACUGACAUAAUUCACAAUAAGAUUGAGGAAACUGAUGGGCGCUUUCUUAUUGGUCAGGAGGAGGACACAGAGCCUCCCUAUUGGGCAGCACUGUUUGAAGGAUCCCGGCCAGUGGUGGUACAAAAAACAGUUCUGUCACCAGGUAAAGAAAGCAAUCAGUCAAUUACAAGUCCCGUCAUGGCCAGCAGAAUCAAGAGGAGAGCACCUCCACCCCCUCCUGAUAAAUUACCAUUUGUUCAACCUACCAGUGUAUUAUCCAAUCAAGAGAAAGAGAACUGUAAGGGGGCAAGGCUUCGGACAGGGCGACCCUCGCUUGAUGCUAAAUUCUCUGCCAUCAUUCAGCAGUUGCAGAAGAGCCACACAUCCACUCGCAAAAAUACACCUCUUGGACAGAUCGAGCACUGUCAGCACCCUUGCAUCCCUCAGAAAAGAGAUGACGAGUCCAAUAUACCUGAAAAGCCUGGGAAAGAGUACAGUCAGGCCCCUCAGCCACCUGUGCCGGCCCCCAGAAACAAACUGAGGAUGUCAUUCAGAGACAAAAUGAACCCAAAAGCCUGGUGAAUUAAUGAGGCGCGAGACAUCUCUUUGAUUAAUGAUCUGUUAUGGAAAGAUGAAACCUCCUUGGAUUCAUAAGGAGAUAAACUCCCUCUUGUCCUUUCAUUGAUCCAUAUCAAGGGUCAAGAGAAUGUGGAUGAGAAUGCUGGGAGUGAAUGGGAGAGUAUAAAUGGCCUUCCUUGUUUGUUCUAGCUUGAACAAACACUUGAAUUCAGACUAAAUUUGCUAUUUUUUUAAGUCUUACGAUAUUAAUUGUUUUUAAAAUAACAGUCCAGAUGUUGAUAGGUGGAUAACCUUCAAGACUUGAUGAUGGCCCAAUUCUUUUUAACUUUAGAAUCUUGUUUUACUGUUAUUCACUUGCAUAUCAUGUCUUUUAAAACUAGUUGUCUGUAAUCACUCAUGAUGUAACCACUACAACCAAGCACUUUUGGCCCACAGCCACUGCAUCAUUUUGGUCUAAGUUUAUAUUUUUCCUGUCAUAUCACAGAAUAAUGUCAAAAUAUAAUUUUAGUUUUUUCCGUCUGUGGUAUGAAAACCGGUGCAUGCUUUGUAGUUUUUCUUAAAGUAUCAGUAGGUGAAAAAAGAUACAUCAGGAACUGGAUAACGGGUUUUAUGUUUUUUAGACUGAAUGAUUUUAUACAGUUAAACCUAUAAACCGUUAACUAACAUUUUAUCUUUUUUUUUUAUUUUUCAUGUUAGACACUAAGGGUUUAAUCUUCAUAUUGUUGUAUUUGAUCAAGUAGUUAAAAUAGUUCAAUUUUUAUAGGGUCUGAGCACUAUGAAACUGUACUUAGGGCACAGUGUGUAUGAAAAUGUAUUGUAAGGUAAAUGUGAUUAGUUUAAUAUCGUUUCAUUUAUGUACACUUCUGAAUGUUUAAGUAGCACACACAAUGCGUUCCACUAAAUGCUGUUGUAGAUUAUUUUCAAGAUAAUUCAUGUUAUGGUACUACUAGUGCAAUACAUGGUUUCGGUUGUUUGGAACUGUUCUAUUUAAGUUGUUUUAGAGUAAAUCACUCUUCAUCAAACAUUCUUUGGCCAUUAAUCUAGGAAAAUAUAUUUGUGGAAAUUUUGCUAAAAUGAAAUGGAACAACAUUAAAAAGUUGUACUGAA